AGCGAACGCUGGCGGCAUGCCUAACACAUGCAAGUCGAACGAACCUUCCGGGGUUAGUGGCGGACGGGUGAGGAACACGUGGGAACGUGCACUUAGGUACGGAAUAACUCAGGGAAAGUUAUGCUAAUACCGAAGGUGCUCUUAGGGGGUAGGAUCUAUUGCCUGUUGAGGGGCGCGCGUUUGAUUAGCUGGUUGGUUAAGGUAAUGGCUCACCUAAGCUACGUUGAGUAGCUGUGCUGUGAGGAGGAUAAGCCGCAUCGGGAAUGCGACACGGCCCACAACCCUACGCGAGGCAGCAGUGGGGAAUCUUGCGCAAUGGGCGAAAGUCUGACGCAGCCACGCCGCGUGAAUGAUGAAUGUCUUAGGAUUGUACAAUUCUUUGACCGGGGACGAUAAUGACGGUACUCGGUGAAGAAGCCCCGGCUAACUUCGUG
rnacentral:rRNA from 1 species